rnacentral:rRNA from 1 species
UACGAAGGGAGCUAGCGUUGUUCGGAAUCACUGGGCGUAAAGCGCACGUAGGCGGACGUGUCAGUCAGGGGUGAAAUCCCGGAGCUCAACUUCGGAACUGCCUUUGAUACUGGGGAUCUCGAGUCCGGGAGAGGUGAGUGGAACUGCGAGUGUAGAGGUGAAAUUCGUAGAUAUUCGCAAGAACACCAGUGGCGAAGGCGGCUCACUGGCCCGGAACUGACGCUGAGGUGCGAAAGCGUGGGGAGCAAACAGG